rnacentral:lncRNA from 1 species
GCAUGAUUCCUCUGCAAAUGGAGUUAGGAGGAAAAGAUGCCUGCAUUGUACUUGAGGAUGCUGACCUGGAUUUGGUUGCUGCAAACAUUAUAAAGGGAGGCUUUUCAUACAGGUAAUGGCACAUCUGAAUUAGUACUUCUGGGGCAAGGUUUCCUUUUCUGCAUUGAUUUGACAGAACUGCCAACCAAUAUUAAGGAAGACAAUUAGACAUCCUACACACUUUGCAUGCAUCCUUGUUUUGCAUCCUUCUGUGAAAUAAACAGUUUGUGAGAUAUUGCUGCUAACAUCAGAUUAUUUUACCAUAUAAGAUGAAUAUUGCAUGGUUAGAAUUUAUAUAGAUCUAGAAACUAAGCAAAUAUACUUCCAUUUCAGCUUCAUGUGCUUAUUUUUUUAUGUUAUGGCUCUAUGUAAAACAGUAAUCCAGAUAUAAUUUUGCGGAGAACAAAAUUCUCAAGGAUUUUUCUUUGUAUAAUGGAUACUUGAAUUAUAAUUCUUUUUUCUUUUGCAACAAAAGUGGUCAGAGGUGCACUGCUGUUAAGGUUGUCCUGGUAAUGGAGUCCGUUGCCGAUGCUUUGGUUGAGAAGGUGAAGGCUAAGGUGGCAAAACUAACUGUUGGACCACCAGAGGAUGACUGUGAUAUCACCCCGGUUGUGUCAGAAUCAUCUGCCAAUUUCAUUGAAGGCCUGGUCUUGGAUGCUAAGGAGAAAGGAGCAACAUUCUGCCAGGAGUACAAAAGAGAAGGCAAUCUUAUUUGGCCUUUGCUACUGGACAAUGUUAGGCCAGACAUGAGAAUCGCAUGGGAAGAGCCAUUUGGACCAGUUUUACCAGUAAUUAGGAUCAAUUCAGUUGAAGAAGGAAUCCAUCAUUGCAAUGCUAGCAACUUUGGACUUCAGGUAAAUAAAAUUAUAGCCCUCAAACUUGAACAUUUACUUACCCUUUAAAAAGUACACAAUAUUUUCUUAUAAUACAAGUAAUUUGUAUCAACACAUUGAACUUGUGUAGGGAUGUGUCUUCACAAAGGAUGUCAACAAAGCAAUAAUGAUCAGUGAUGCAAUGGAAACGGGAACAGUUCAGAUAAAUUCCGCCCCGGCUCGUGGGCCAGAUCAUUUUCCCUUUCAGGUGAACCUACCCUUCAACCAACUAAAUUCUGCUAUUUCCAAAACUUGGAAACGAACCAAAAGCAUUUUUUUUCUUGUACAAUGGUCGCA